rnacentral:rRNA from 1 species
UACUUAGUGGCAGACGGGUGAGUAACAUGUGGGUAUCUACCCUUUGGCCUGGAAUAACACGAGGAAACUUGUGCUAAUACCGGAUAAGUCUUUACGGAGAAAGCUUUAUGCACCAAUGGAUGAGCCCGCACUAGAUUAGUUUGUUGGUGGGGUAAUGGCCUACCAAGACUAUGAUCUAUAGCUGAUUUGAGAGGAUGAUCAGCCACAUUGGGACUGAGACACGGCCCAAACUCCUACGGGAGGCAGCAGUGGGGAAUCUUGCACAAUGGAGGAAACUCUGAUGCAGCGAUGCCGCGUGAGUGAAGAAGGCCCUUGGGUUGUAAAGCUCUUUCGUCGGGGAAGAAAAUGACUGUACCCGAAUAAGAAGGUCCGGCUAACUUCGUGCCAGCAGCCGCGGUAAUACGAAGGGACCUAGCGUAGUUCGGAUUUACUGGGCUUAAAGAGUUCGUAGGUGGUUGAAAAAGUUGGUGGUGAAAUCCCA